GGCAAACCUCGGCUUCCUCCGGCCUUCCUCUUCCUCUGAGGCCUGGCUCGCCUCCCCGCAAUCCGUCAGACCUUUCCGGUUGCCGCAGCUUUUCCUCACGCGCGAGUCCGGCCACCGCCGUUCCAGUUUAGGGAGAGUCCCGUUCGGGGACCUGCUCGAGGCUGGUCCCACGGGUUCCGGCCGGCGCAGGCAGGGAGCCGCCCUCGGGAGGAGGACGGUGGGGCGCGAGGGAGGCCAUCGCGGGCUAAAUAAGGGAGGCUGCGGCGGCUGCGCGUGCGCCCAAAGGCGCUGCGGGCGGGGGGGUGCCCUUCGGCGUGCUCUUCGGCCGCCGCCCCCGCCCCCGCCCCUUCGGGUUCGGGCGGGGUGGUCGGAAACCCCCUGGCCUGGCGACGGGCGGACGGUUACCACAUAGCUGCCUCGGGGGCAGCCGCGAACGCCGCCUCCGGGGAGGUGCGGAGCGAGCCCCUGCGUCCUCAGACCGGUUCCUGGAAGUCGCGGCCGAGCUCGGGCACUGGCACUGGCCGGACGCGGAGCGCGCGACCGGCCUGCGGCGGGGCUGUGGCUGCUGCGAGCACGCCGGGCGGCAUAUUAGACAAUGAAAGCUCCAUGUGACAUACUGUAAAUAUUUGUCGAAUGAAAGGAUAUUUGCCUACAAAAACAUGUACAAAGAAAAUGACAAAAUACUGGAAUUCUCAAGAGGAAAAGGCAUAUGAUUCUAAUUCUACUUGAUUUCUGAAAGAACAGAAGAGUUAUAAAUCCAGUCCUGCUCUCACAAAUAAAAUGAGAAAAAGCUGGAUUAUUCCUAACACAGAGGCUGGGAAGUCCACAUUUCAGGGAAAACAUCUGGUCAGAGCUUUCUUUGGUGGUGACUUCAGUGACACAAGAUUCAUCUUCUUCUGAUCUACUACCAAAUGUUGAGUUUCUUCAAGAAUCAGUCCUUUGGAGGUGACAUCAGCAAAAAUAGCAAGUAGAAGGAACUCCCAAGGGCCUAUCCCACCACAAAAGCGGUUAAUAAAUAGGCAAAACUUCAGAAUCAACUUUAUGUGAACUUCAGAAACUAGUCAGACAUUUACAUUGACUAUAAAAACACUUAAGAAAAAAGUUGCUGAAUCUCAGGAAGAGAGCUUUGUAUCAUUUAUACUUACCCUGGCCUCAUCUUCUUGUGCCCAGUUCCUCAGAAAUUUUGCAGAUGACAACCUGCAUUUCUGCUGUGGGUUCUUGAUGCCAAGGGGAGCAGAAUGGAUCUUGUUCUCAAAGAACUGUGGUAGUUUAUUUCGACUUGCCUGAUGGCUCCCUGAAGGAGUGGUGCAAAGGGCUAGCCUUUAUUUUGCCUAACUCAGAACUCUCCCAAGGCAGAGAUAACUACCAGUGGGCAUUUGUCAAAAAUAUGUAAAGGCAAGUUUAAUAGCCACUGCCAUGUGGGGCAAGGAAGAGCAGUUGGAACAAACAACAGAUACACCAAAAACCUUGGGAAGAAAAGCUGGAGAGUAAGAUACUUUGGGGAAUAAUGGCUUUAAAAGUUUACAUUUAUUCCUGGGUAUCCAAAAGGUCACAUGCAUGCCUAAGAUGGGACAAAUACUUGGAAAAGAUCUGAGAAGGCCCUAAACUCUCACCUCUGACUAACUUUCAGGGUCUGUUCAAAUAGAGAGUGAAAGCUAAGGUGUAUUUGUAAGUUGCCCAGCUAAAUGUUGAAAGUGUGCCCUAAAACAUACACAGACCCAUUCACAAAGACUGGGAGUUUUUGCUUCUUGUUUUGGUUUCAGGCAUUUAAAGAAAUCUCUGUUGAGUCACUAGCUGACCAUUAAGCUAACAGAACAGAGAUUUAACUGACAACACAUAACAAGGAAUACAGACUUUACGAAGUUCAGAAAACUCACCAAACAACAGCAACCUAAUAAGCAGCAACAGUAAACCCUGGGGAGGAAGAAGAAUCCAAUUUCCAGAGUUGCCACAUUGUAAUAUUUAAAAUGUCCAGUUUUUAAAAAAGAAUAACGAGGAAAGCAAAAACAAACACAGAAAACAAGAAAGUAUGACCUAUACACAGGAAAAAAGGAAAUUAAUAGAAACCGUUCCUAAAGAAUCAUAGACAUUGGACAUGCUAGACAAAGACUUUCCAUCAAUACUUUAAGAUAUGCUAGAAGAGCUAAAAGAAACCAUGGACAAAGAACUAACACAAAUCAGUAGAAUAAUAUCUCGCCAAUAGAGAAUAUCAAUAAUGAGAUCAAAAUUAUAAAAAAGGAACCAAAUAGAAAUUCUGAGUUGAAAAGUACUAUAAGUGAAACUAAAAAUUUACUAGAGGGAUUCACCAACAGAUUUGAAUAGUGAAAAGAAACAAUCAGCAGACUUCAAGAAAGGUUGAUUAAGAUUAUCCAAACUAGGGCUGGCUGUUAGCUCAGUUUGUUAGAGCACAGUGUUAUAACACCAAUGUCAAGGGUUUGGAUCCCUGGUCUGACCAACAACAACAACAACAAAAAAGUUACCCAAUCUGAGGAGCAAAAGGGAAAAAGAAUGUAGAAAAAUGAACAAACCUUAAGUGACCUGUAGGAAUCCAUCACACAUACUAAUAUAUGCAUAACGGGAGUCGCAGAAGGAGAGGAUAAAGAGAAAGGGGAAAAAAGAAUAUUUGAAGAAAUAAUGGUUGAAAGCUUCCCAGAUUUGAUGAAAUACAUGAAUCUAGAUAUUCAAGAGGUUCAAAGAACCCUAGAUAGGGUAAACUUAAGGAUACCCAUGCCAAGACAUACUAUAAUCAAAUUAUUGAAAGUUAAUGACAAAGAGAGAAUCCUAAAAGCAGAAAAAGAAAAGUGAGUCCUCACGUGUAAGGGAUCUUCAAUAAGAUCAACAGCUCAUUUCUCAUCAGAAACCAUGUAUGCUAGGAGGAAUGGGAUGACAUAUUCAAAGUGCUCAAAGAAAAAAACUAUUAACCAGGAAUUCUAUAUCCAGCAAAACUAUCCUUCAAAAGUAAAGGAGACUUAUAACACCAAGAUUAUGGGUUCAGAUUCCCAUACUGGCCAGCAGCCAAAAAAAAAAAAAAAAGAGAGAAAUUAAGACAUUUCCAG